rnacentral:rRNA from 1 species
UGGGGGAUAUUGCACAAUGGGCGAAAGCCUGAUGCAGCGACGCCGCGUGGGGGAUGAAGGCCUUCGGGUUGUAAACUUCUUUUGCUCUGAACAAGGCGCACCAUGGGGUGUGUUGAGUGUAGGGGUUGAUUAGCGCCGGCUAACUACGUGCCAGCAGCCGCGGUAAUACGUAGGGCGCGAGCGUUGUCCGGAAUUAUUGGGCGUAAAGGGCUUGUAGGUGGCUGGUUGCGUCUGUCGUGAAAGCUCAUGGCUUAACUGUGGGUUUGCGGUGGGUACGGGCUGGCUUGAGUGCAGUAGGGGAGGCUGGAAUUCCUGGUGUAGCGGUGGAAUGCGCAGAUAUCAGGAGGAAUACCGGUGGCGAAGGCGGGUCCCUGGGCUGUUACUGACACUGAGGAGCGAAAGCAUGGGGAGCGAACAGG